GAGCGAGCGGCGGGUGUCCCUGAGAGGCCACCUUUCGACCUUCGAGGGCCAGGAGGAUACGGGGAGGUGGCCGGAGGGAGUUCCCGAACACAGGUCUUCCUGUUCCCGCCGAGCAGGUGUUGGCGGUGCCAGGCCCGGCCUGGCGGGCCCGGGCUGGCAGCCAAAUACCCAGCGUCUGUGCUCGGGACGGGAGUGUUCGUCCAGGACGUGCAGCUCCGGAGCCUGCGCGGGCGACCUUGACCACCUUUGUCGGCUGUUUCCCCCUGAGGGAAGUAUACCUGUCCUGCCAGCCUUGGUCUCUGGCAGGGAAGGUCCUUCCAACAGAGAGGGGUUCGGGAUACAUGCACAGAAUUGCUUAGAAUUGACUCAACACUGCCUCCUUGCUGAAUGGAUAAUUCAAGCAAACAACUCAAGAGCUGGAUGCUGCCCAGACAGGUAGGCAGCCAGAUAAAGUGAGUGUCCAGGGAAAGAGCAGUAAGGGUCAGAAGAGAAAGAGCCUGGUGUUCUCACUGCCUCCUGCCUUCCUUAUGACUGUCUGUUCAGAAGUCCUCCUAGCAUCUUUCUUCUGCCUUCCCCUGCUCCUGUCCCUGAAACCUUUUCUUCAAAAGAAGUGGAAAAGAGGAACUGGGAACCCAUAUAGCAACAGCAUCACCUGGAAUGAAUUCCUUUAGAACAUACUGUCUUGGAAAUCUGAAGCCUGCAGGGCUGGACAGGCAAGAAGAGCAGUGAGCACUGCAUGAACCUAGUCUUGCUGUGUCGCCCAAGCUGGAGUUCAGUGGCACCAUCCUGGCUCACUGCAACUGCUGCCUCCCAGGUUCAAGUGAUUCUCCUGCCUCAGCCUCCCGAGUAGCUGGGAUUACAUGUGCCUGCCACCACGCCUGGCAAGUUUUUGUAUUUUUAGUAGAAAUGGUGUUUUACCAUGUUGGCCAAGACUGGCCUAGAACUCCAGACCUCAAGUGAUCCACCCGCCUCAGCAGCCCAAAGUGGUGGGAUUACAGGCAUGAGCAACUGUGCCUGGCCUAGCCAUUUUCUAUAAACCUGAAAAUAGAUGCCAGAAAAGAAGGUGCCGCUAUAAAAUGCUUUCUUGAGUGAUUUAUGUCUAACAUACAAUUAAACAUUUAUGAGAAGGAAAUUAUCAGGUUAAAAUAUAAACUCACUUGCCAAUUAUUUGAUUUUCAGGAUAUCUGACUUUUGUUAAUUACUGAAAAUAAAGUAUUAUUUCUAAUCAC
rnacentral:lncRNA from 1 species